rnacentral:lncRNA from 1 species
AGCCCUCAGCGUACAUGCCAGCUAAUUACAGAUGCAGGAGCAAACCCCUGGCCCAUACAUCAGUUGGGUGUGGUGACUCACACCUGCAAUCCCAGCACUUCAGGAGGCUGAAGAGAGCAGAUCACUUGCGGCCAGGAGUUCGAGACCAGUCUGGGCAACAUAGAUUUUGGAAGCAUUGCCUUCUACAGAAUCCACAGUAGUCCGAAGCUCUUCUACGGUUUUUGUCAAACUUUGAUUUUCCAUCUCUAGCUUCAAUAAUCUACUUGAUGUCAACUCAUUCACCUCAUGGCCCAGGGAUUUCUGGGGUGCUAUAAUAUUGAAAAAUACACCAUUGUAUUUACUCUUUACUGUUUUUACUAUGUUUACUCUUUACUAUUUAAAAAGUUGAGUGUAUAUGCAUUGCAUCAUCUGAUCCUUAACUUUAUUAAAAAUUCAAUGAGGUUAUAUAAGAUAAACAAGAUAAAAGAAGUAAAUCUUUUUUUUCCUUUUCUUUUUUUCUUUUUUUUAAAGAGACGGGGUCUCUCUCUGUCACCCAGGCUGGAGUGCAGUGAUGUGCUCCUAGCUCACUGCAGCCUCAAACGCCUGGUCUGAAGGGAUCCUCCCACCUCAGUCUCCCAAGCGGCCGGGACUGCAGGUACAGCCAGCUAAUUUUUUUAUUUUUUAGUAAAGACUGGGUCUCUGUUACUUAGGCUGGUCUCGAACUCCUGAGCUCAAGCAAUCCUCCUGCCUUGGCCUCCCAAAGUGCUGGGAUUACAGGCAUGAGCCGCUGCACCCAGCUAAGAGAUACAUGUUUAACUUUUAAUGCAUCCACAGCAUUCUAGUUAAAAAAAGCAUAAAAUUUAGAUUGAAGAAAUUGGAGUUCAAGCAGACCCAUUAAAUAUUUUGCUGAUAUAAGAACAUUAGGAUUUACAAAUGAAAUAUGAGACCUACUAUUUCAAGAAAGGAAAUGAAUAAAGGUACUGGAGAGA